AAGGCCCUUCGGGGUACACGAGUGGCGAACGGGUGAGUAACACGUGGGUAAUCUGCCCUGCACAUCGGGAUAAGCCUGGGAAACUGGGUCUAAUACCGAAUAGGACCACAGGACACAUGUCCUGUGGUGGAAAGCUUUUGCGGUGUGGGAUGGGCCCGCGGCCUAUCAGCUUGUUGGUGGGGUGAUGGCCUACCAAGGCGACGACGGGUAGCCGGCCUGAGAGGGUGUCCGGCCACACUGGGACUGAGAUACGGCCCAGACUCCUACGGGAGGCAGCAGUGGGGAAUAUUGCACAAUGGGCGAAAGCCUGAUGCAGCGACGCCGCGUGGGGGAUGACGGCCUUCGGGUUGUAAACCUCUUUCACCAUCGACGAAGGUCCGGGUUUUCUCGGGCUGACGGUAGGUGGAGAAGAAGCACCGGCCAACUACGUGCCAGCAGCCGCGGUAAUACGUAGGGUGCGAGCGUUGUCCGGAAUUACUGGGCGUAAAGAGCUCGUAGGUGGUUUGUCGCGUUGUUCGUGAAAUCUCACGGCUUAACUGUGAGCGUGCGGGCGAUACGGGCAGACUUGAGUACUGCAGGGGAGACUGGAAUUCCUGGUGUAGCGGUGGAAUGCGCAGAUAUCAGGAGGAACACCGGUGGCGAAGGCGGGUCUCUGGGCAGUAACUGACGCUGAGGAGCGAAAGCGUGGGGAGCGAACAGGAUUAGAUACCCUGGUAGU
rnacentral:rRNA from 1 species